GAUGAACGCUGGCGGCGUGCCUAACACAUGCAAGUCGAGCGAUUCUCUUCGGAGAAGAGCGGCGGACGGGUGAGUAACGCGUGGGUAACCUGCCCUGUACACACGGAUAACAUACCGAAAGGUAUGCUAAUACGAGAUAAUAUGCUUUUAUCGCAUGGUAGAAGUAUCAAAGCUUUUGCGGUACAGGAUGGACCCGCGUCUGAUUAGCUAGUUGGUAAGGUAACGGCUUACCAAGGCGACGAUCAGUAGCCGACCUGAGAGGGUGAUCGGCCACAUUGGAACUGAGACACGGUCCAAACUCCUACGGGAGGCAGCAGUGGGGAAUAUUGCACAAUGGGCGAAAGCCUGAUGCAGCAACGCCGCGUGAGCGAUGAAGGCCUUCGGGUCGUAAAGCUCUGUCCUCAAGGAAGAUAAUGACGGUACUUGAGGAGGAAGCCCCGGCUAACUACGUGCCAGCAGCCGCCGUAAAAC
rnacentral:rRNA from 1 species